ensembl:lncRNA
GCCAUCUGUUGUGUUUAUGUCUCAUGUUGUGUUUACGUCUCAUGUUGUGUUUAUGUCUCAUGUUGUGUGUGUGUGUGUCUGUCUGUCUUUCAUGGCAGUCAGGAGACAGGUGAGCAUGUAGAUGCUCUGAUGUCCUGCCUGAGCAGAAUGCCCGGUCUGGAGGAGGUAUCGAUAGAAGUGACCCUCCUGGACGAGUCCUGGGCCACUGGAUUUCUCCAGCUCUUCCUGGCCUGCCCCCACCUCAAACACAUAACGUGUUCAGUCCACACUGCUGACAAAGGGUCUCUAGAUGUGUGUGUGGAGAACUACAACGAGAUGCUGUGGUUGUCUGUGAAGAAGCGUUCUCUCGAACCCCUGUCUGAGCUUGAGGAAGCCUGGGUUAAUGCCAGGGGCCGUGUUCACCUGCCCCCUACCUGUGUUACACUCAUCCUGCCCCCUACCUGUGUCGUCCUCAUCCUGCCCCCCUCACCUGAGCUGCAACACCUGGACUGGGGAGGCUUCUUCAGCAGCUGCCUCUCACCGGAGAACAACUCAGACCAUCUAGGCCCUGAUGAGAACGUUGAGGCCCUGCUGUCUUUCUUGCGGCGUGUUCCAGAUCUUAAAGGGGUGAGGCUGGACAUGGGCCCCCUGACUGAGAGAUCGGCCUCUGGGGUCAUCUCCCUCAUCCAGGCCUGCCCAACACUCACAGACCUCAGGUACAUCCCCCUCAUCCACUCACAGACCUCAGGUACAUCCCCCUCAUCCACUCACAGACCUCAGGUACAUCCCCCUCAUCCACUCACAGACCUCAGGUACAUCUCCCUCAUCCACUCACAGACCUCAGGUACAUCUCCAUCAUCCAGGCCUGCCCCACACUCACAGACCUCAGGUGGUUCUGUGGAGAACAAGGGUAUGGCAUCGUCUCUGAGGAAGGACUUAACAUCCUCCAGCAGUCUCAACAUCAUCUCAGAGGCAUCCUCUCUCUAACAGGGUAUGUGUGUGUGUGUGUGUGUGUGUGUGUGUUUGUCUCAACAUCAUCUCAGAGGCAUCCUCUCUCUAACAGGGCUGAAGUGCCGAGUGUCUGCUGAGCUGUGCCCUGACCACAUAGACCUGAAGCACCGUCACCAGAGAGAAGAGCUCCAGUUCACAGGGGACUCUGUCCAACAC